AUUGAACGCUGGCGGCAGGCUUAACACAUGCAAGUCGAGCGGAGAGAGGUAGCUUGCUACUGAUCUUAGCGGCGGACGGGUGAGUAAUGCUUAGGGAUCUGCCUAUUAGUGGGGGACAACAUUUCGAAAGGAAUGCUAAUACCGCAUACGUCCUACGGGAGAAAGCAGGGGAUCUUCGGACCUUGCGCUAAUAGAUGAGCCUAAGUCGGAUUAGCUAGUUGGUGGGGUAAAGGCCUACCAAGGCGACGAUCUGUAGCGGGUCUGAGAGGAUGAUCCGCCACACUGGGACUGAGACACGGCCCAGACUCCUACGGGAGGCAGCAGUGGGGAAUAUUGGACAAUGGGCGGAAGCCUGAUCCAGCCAUGCCGCGUGUGUGAAGAAGGCCUUAUGGUUGUAAAGCACUUUAAGCGAGGAGGAGGCUACUUUAGUUAAUACCUAGAGAUAGUGGACGUUACUCGCAGAAUAAGCACCGGCUAACUCUGUGCCAGCCGCCGCAGUAA
rnacentral:rRNA from 1 species